GCAAGUCGAGCGCGCCCUUCGGGGUGAGCGGCGGACGGGUGAGUAACGCGUGGGAACGUGCCCUUUGCUGCGGAAUAGCCACUGGAAACGGUGAGUAAUACCGCAUGAGCCCUUCGGGGGAAAGAUUUAUCGGCAAGGGAUCGGCCCACGUUGGAUUAGGUAGUUGGUGGGGUAAUGGCCUACCAAGCCGACGAUCCAUAGCUGGUUUCAGAGGAUGAUCAGCCACACUGGGACUGAGACACGGCCCAGACUCCUACGGGAGGCAGCAGUGGGGAAUCUUAGACAAUGGGCGCAAGCCUGAUCUAGCCAUGCCGCGUGAGUGACGAAGGCCCUAGGGUCGUAAAGCUCUUUCGCCUGUGAAGAUAAUGACGGUAGCAGGUAAAGAAACCCCGGCUAACUCCGUGCCAGCAGCCGCGGUAAUACGGAGGGGGUUAGCGUUGUUCGGAAUUACUGGGCGUAAAGCGCGCGUAGGCGGACCAUCAAGUUGGGGGUGAAAUCCCGGGGCUCAGCCCCGGAACUGCCUCCAAAACUGGCGGUCUGGAGUUCGAGAGAGGUGAGUGGAAUUCCGAGUGUAGAGGUGAAAUUCGUAGAUAUUCGGAGGAACACCCGCGGCGAAGGCGGCUCACUGGCUCGAGACUGACGCUGAGGUGCGAAAGUGUGGGGAGCAAACAGGAUUAGAUACCCUGGUAGUCCACACCGUAAACGAUGAAUGCCAGUCGUCGGCAAGCAUGCUUGUCGGUGACACACCUAACGGAUUAAGCAUUCCGCCUGGGGAGUACGGCCGCAAGGUUACAACUCAAAUGAAUUGACGGAA
rnacentral:rRNA from 1 species